rnacentral:rRNA from 1 species
UAAUACAGAGGGUGCAAGCGUUAUUCGGAAUCACUGGGCGUAAAGAGCUCGUAGGCGGUUAAUUAAGUCAUAUGUGAAAGCCCUGGGCUCAAUCCAGGAAGUGCAUCUGAUACUGAUUGACUGGAGUGCAGGAGAGGAAAGCGGAAUUCCAGGUGUAGAGGUGAAAUUCGUAGAUAUCUGGAGGAACAACAGAAGCGAAGGCGGCUUUCUGGACUGUCACUGACGCUGAGGAGCGAAAGCGUGGGGAGCAAACAGGAUUAGAUACCCUGGUAGUCCACGCUGUAAACGAUGGAUACUAGAUGUCGGGGGCCUUACCCCCUCGGUGUCGACGCUAACGCAUUAAGUAUCCCGCCUGGGGAGUACGGCCGCAAGGUUA